GAGUUGGUGAUAUGGAGCGGUUUGGCUGCACGAUUGAAAUGGAGCCCAGAACCCUGAGUGAAGGAGAACUGAACGAUGCACGGGAUCUCAUGGAGCACGUAGAAAUGGAGGAGGCUACUUCCUUUAAUUGAAGGCACAGCCAGAAGUAUGCAAAACAAGUAGCAGAACAUGAAAAAUAGGCUUCCUCCAAUGUUUCUCACAUGAUCUUCCAUGUGUUUUCCCUCGGUUUCUAGCAUGUAUUUUAACUAAUUAAGCCAUCAUCCAUCUCAUCCAAUGGAAGGAUGAACACUUGUUUCCAGUAGAUUCUUUGGAAGCAUGCCUAAUAAUCUGGAUAAAGGCUAUGCAGGAAGCAGCAGUGGCCAUAAUACAAAGUAAGGAGCCCAAGGAAGCAUUGAGUAUCUUCACCCAGGGAAAGAGUUUGACUGGAGCCGUAAAAGGACCGGGUGAAGAGGUUGAGAGGCAGGGUCAUGGUAUUGAAGAAGGAACUGGACUUGCUAAAAAAUCUUGGAAUCUUCCAUGCGGUCCUGAUAGCUCUGAAGAAUUCCCUGAUGGAACCAAAUUGAGGGAGCCUCUCUCAUCUCCAUUUUGAAGUGUGACUGUCAUGUUAAAGGCAUUAUAUAUUCUCCUUUUUUUUUGGUUUUAUUUAGAGUGAUAGAAAGCAUCAUUCCUUUUGGAUAAUAAAAAUCUUUAAAAUUUUAUUUCAAUAACAAACUUCGUGCAUAAAAUGCCCUUAUAGUGCA